AACGAACGCUGGCGGCGUGCCUAACACAUGCAAGUCGUGCGAGAAAGUUCCUUCGGGAGCGAGUAAAGCGGCGCACGGGUGAGUAACACGUAGGUAACCUGCCCCCCAGUCUGGAACAACUAGAGGAAACUCUAGCUAAUGCCGGAUGAGACCACGAUCCCUUCGGGGUUACGGCCAAAGAUGGCCUCUACUUGUAAGCUAUCGCUGAGGGAUGGGCCUGCGGGCCAUUAGCUUGUUGGUGAGGUAACGGCUCACCAAGGCUGUGAUGGCUAGCUGGUCUGAGAGGAUGACCAGCCACACUGGGACUGAGACACGGCCCAGACUCCUACGGGAGGCAGCAGUGGGGAAUAUUGCGCAAUGGGCGAAAGCCUGACGCAGCGACGCCGCGUGGGUGAUGAAGGCCUCGGUCGGUAAGACCGUCGUCG
rnacentral:rRNA from 1 species